rnacentral:tRNA from 1 species
CGAGGAGUGCCCAUACAAAGAACUGCUAAUUCCGCGCCCUGAGGUUAAACCCCCAGACUCCUUA